rnacentral:rRNA from 1 species
GACGUAGGGUGCGAGCGUUGUCCGGAUUUAUUGGGCGUAAAGAGCUCGUAGGCGGCUCGUCGCGUCGACCGUGAAAACCCGCAGCUUAACUGCGGGCUUGCGGUUGAGUACGGGCGGGCUAGAGUUCGGGUAGGGGAGACUGGAAUUCCUGGGUGUAGCGGUGAAAUGCGCAGAUAAUCAGGAGGAACACCGGUGGCGAAGGCGGGUCUCUGGGCCGAUGACUGACGCUGGAGGAGCGAAAGCGUGGGGAGCGAACAGG